UGGCGACCGGCGCACGGGUGAGUAACGCGUAUGCAACCUGCCCGAUACCGGGGUAUAGCCCAUGGAAACGUGGAUUAACACCCCAUAGUACUUUUAUCCUGCCUGGGAUGUGAGUUAAAUGUUCAAGGUAUCGGAUGGGCAUGCGUCCUAUUAGUUAGUUGGCGGGGUAACAGCCCACCAAGACUACGAUGGAUAGGGGUUCUGAGAGGAAGGUCCCCCACAUUGGAACUGAGACACGGUCCAA
rnacentral:rRNA from 1 species